rnacentral:piRNA from 1 species
UCCACCCCUCUGAGACAGUUUGUGGACAGA